CCUACGGGAGGCAGCAGUCGAGAAUCAUUCACAAUGGGGGAAACCCUGAUGGUGCGACGCCGCGUGGGGGAAUGAAGGUCUUCGGAUUGUAAACCCCUGUCAUGUGGGAGCAAAUUAAAAAGAUAGUACCACACGAGGAAGAGACGGCUAACUCUGUGCCAGCAGCCGCGGUAAUACAGAGGUCUCAAGCGUUGUUCGGAAUCACUGGGCGUAAAGCGUGCGUAGGCUGUUUCGUAAGUCGUGUGUGAAAGGCGCGGGCUCAACCCGCGGACGGCACAUGAUACUGGGAGACUAGAGUAAUGGAGGGGGGACCGGAAUUCUCGGUGUAGCAGUGAAAUGCGUAGAUAUCGAGAGGAACACUCGUGGCGAAGGCGGGUUCCUGGACAUUAACUGACGCUGAGGUACGAAGGCCAGGGGAGCGAAAGGGAUUAGAUACCCGAGUAGUC
rnacentral:rRNA from 1 species